AUUGUUAGCGUGAAAAGAAAUAUUGGAUAUUUUAAUAUGAUGAAUAUUCUAGGUAGAGAAUAUGGAUAGUAUUACCAUUAUUAGUAUUACGUCAACAUUAACUCAACAAUUGUAUUGUUGACAUGAAGAAAAAGCUAUUUCGAGGUUGUUUUGACCAUUGAUUGCUAAUAACACCUGGCGCCGUGACCUGGAUGCAGAUUCUAAGCAGAUGGGCCAAAAUGGGGGCAGCUAGAGAGACUCGCCUGGAACUGACAAGCCUGGAGGGAGCUGGUUGACUGUUGGCGAGAUGGGACAACAGACGAAGAAUAAACGAACCUACUUGAUUUGAUAAACAUUUUUAUGUUUUUCAGUUUCGUCGGAAGACAUUUCCCACCAACCAUCCUGUCUUGAAAGAAAUAACUUUUGAACCUGAUUAUCUGAUAUUUUCCAGUUUCCCCUCACAACAAUUUGCAUCAAACCUCUUGUCUGCUCCUCAGCUGAAAUCAUCAUCUAGCAGUCACAAUAGUUGAGCGGUUGGAGAGGCAUGCAUUGCGUCCUACUACUGCUCAGACUAUAUCAUGUUUGGCAGACAAAACAUGAUGAUCAAAAAGAAUGUGUACCACAGGGGCCAGUGUUUCCAUUUGAGUGAUUGACAAGAAGAAGAAGAGAUGAGAAAUGUUAUCAUCAUAUUUUAGUCCCUACAUUUAUAGUGUACAGCUCAAUGUAUUGAACCGGUGUCGUAGAAUAUAAUUGUGAUACAUGCGAACAUUAUAACAUUAUAUAUAAGAUGAUAUUUCAAAAGCAAUAAGAAAUAAAAAGUAUAAAAAGGUCAAAACAGUAAACCUUGUGUUUACAGUGGACAGGUUUAAAGUGGAAGUGACUAGUUAACUGUUGAUCAUAAGCUGCACUGAUGGAAAAAAUAGUGGGACAUUACUAUCUAGAUAACUGUUUAACGUACGACAACAGUUGUGGAACUUCAUAAAUGACCGUAUGUAACAGGGCUGUGCAGUUUUCCUUAUAUAGCUAUAGUGAAACCUUUUGAACACUAGUGAAGUCACUGUUUUUUUUCCAAUCUUCAUGCAUUUUGGUCGAAUAUUUGUUCAAAUGAUGGCUCAGUCCAGUUUCAAAUUUUUUAAUCUAUUCAAAAAACAUAUCCACUAGAGCACGAGGCAAUUGUCUUUUUAUGGCUAUAAUGAAACCUUGUAAAUUCUCUAGAAGUGACAUUUUUAGCCAUAUCUCCAUAAAUUUUGGUCAGAAUAUUUAUUCUAAUGAUAGCUCAGUUGUCGAGUUUGUAACUGGUUCCGGUUUGUAGACUAACAUGGCUGCCAGUGGACAUGACAGUUUUUCUUAAAGUGCUAGAGUAGAACCUUGUUAACACACAAUUGGGCUUUUUUAUGUGCAUUUUUCAUGAAAGAUGAUCAGAGCAUUUGGCCCAAUGUAAUUUUAUAUUUGAAAUGCAUGUGUAUCUCAUGGAGCUGCACAAUUUGAGUGGUGAAAGGUUAAGUUCAUCCUUCAAGGUCAGAUGUCAAAUAUAUGUGUCCAAAAUCGCUCAUUUUAUUAUACUUUUGCAAUAUUGAAGAUAGCAACUUGAUAUUUGGCAUGCAUGUGUAUCUCGUGGAUCUGCACAUUUUGAGUGGUGAAAGGUCAAGGUCAUCCUUCAAGGUCAGAGGUCAAAUAUAUGUGGCCCAAAUCGCUAAUUUUAUGAAUACUUUUUCUAUAUUGAAGAUAGCAACUUGAUAUUUGGCAUGCAUGUGUAUCUCAUGGAGCUGCACAUUUUUAGUGGUGAAAGGUCAAGGUCAUCCUUCAAGGUCAAAUAUAUGGGUCAAAAUUGAUCAUGUAAUGUCACUUCUGCAAUAUUGAAGCUAGCAAUUUUAUAUUUGAAAUGCAUGUGUAUCUCAUGGAGCUGCACAUUUUGAGUGGUGAAGGUCAUCCUACAAGGUCAAACGUCAUAUAGGGGGACAUUGUGUUUCACAAACACAUCUUGUUUAAAGUUUGUCAAAACAUUUGCUGUAAUGAUAAGCAAAGUCAAGUUUAUAAAUGAUUAUUUGCCUACAAAUUACAUAUUUUUGAUCAAGUUCAUUUAUUAUUCUAAACUACACCCUCUCAGAAUAGUUUAGUUACUGCUGGUCACAGUUGAGCACCUUAGGGCUCUUGUUCUAUAAUUUGAUUGUUUUGGAAAAUUGUCAUUUUGCCAAAAUGUGAGCAAGUCCAAAUUUAAUUAAUGUAUAAAGUGGAAAAUCAUCUAUGAAUCUGACUGCAUAGAUAUUUGGUAUUCAGCAAAGCAUCGUGUAAAUGUAGUAAAACGAAACACAAUUGUGUUAGCAUAAAACUGGCCAUGCCAUGGGGGUCAAAUGGUUAAUACAGACUUGUAGGAAAAAGACUUCUAAAAAUUUUAUCCAUUAAAUAUAUUUUGUGUACAUAAUGAUUAGCUUUUUCCUUCAACUUAUC